AGCGGGUUAAGCCGGGAACUUUAAGGAUACUGCCAGUGACAAACUGGAGGAAGGCGGGACGACGUCAAGUCAUCAUGGCCCUUACGACCAGGGCUACACACGUGCUACAAUGGUCGGUACAAAGGGUUGCUACCUAGCGAUAGGAUGCUAAUCUCAAAAAGCCGAUCGUAGUCCGGAUUGGAGUCUGCAACUCGACUCCAUGAAGUCGGAAUCGCUAGUAAUCGCGGAUCAGAAUGCCGCGGUCGAAUACGUUCCCGGGCCUU
rnacentral:rRNA from 1 species